rfam:Parcubacteria bacterium GW2011_GWC1_36_108 TR95_C0002, whole genome shotgun sequence.
GGGUCCAUAGCUCAGCGGUUAGAGCAGGCGACUCAUAAUCGCUUGGUCGCUGGUUCGAUUCCAGCUGGACCCA